AGGGAGCGAGCGAGCGAGCGGGCUGGGACUCGGCAUACUGGCAUAUAACUCUGAAGCUCAAGGUUCCUCGGAAAAAUAGACGCUUCAUCUUAUAACCUGAACCAUCAGAAGGUUGUUCCUUUAUGGUUCACAUGUUUGUGUCAGAGCCCAGAGAGAUACCGGCCAAGACAGAGAGAAGAGAGAAGUCUAAUGCUGAGAUAAAUAGAAGUGCUGGGCUCGAUCAGGAAUAAAGUGGCGGUUGGGGGUUGGCGUGGGUUCCCAUUUAGAAACAGAAAACCGCUGAGGAGCACCUGUCGUCACAAUCUGUCCACCUCCACAGUGCAGCUCUGUGAGCCUGCACAGGCAGCGGCCGUUUCUAAUCUAUGCCUGUGUUGUUCACUCAGAAAUGAAGACGUGGAUACCUCUGCUUCACUGUUUCACAUCACUUCUCUAUUUCUAAUAUCUUUCUCUCUGCCUUUACCUCUGAUGCAUGUAUACAGUACAUGCUUCAUUUUCUGAUGUAGCUUUACAUUGUAUUAGCAGUGUCCGAAGUUAGUGGGCUGCAUUCUUCGUGUUUCAAGACCAGUUGCAUCACAGCAGCAAGUUGAAGGCUUCUUCAAAUGAGGCCAACAAAUGCAUUCUUCUUUGCCUGGGGCUAUGAAAGAUGCAUCUGGCGCAUCCUGAAGCAUGAACGGCACACAUGUACGAACUAGAUGCUAGACUCUCAAGUGGCCAAGAAAUACACUCAGUAGAAUAACUAGCAGUAUGACUGUUGAAAAGGUAUGUGACCUUGGUAAUGUUAGCCAGCUAGCUACCUGAUGCUGGUUGCCUCUAGUGGCCCAAGGGUAAGAGUGAGAGAAGCAGUUAAAAUAAAUAGGACAUUCUCUGGAGACUAGUGUCUCAAUUCAGUUGGGGUUUUGUGGUCUACACAAACUAUGAAAGACAUCCUCUGGAGGAUUUGUCCUUUAAAGGAUGCAGUCCAUGAACUGGGACACAGCUUGUGUUCACGUCUCACUUUUUCCUCAUAAUAAGAGGUAUGACAGUUAGACAAGGAACAUAUUCUCCUAUGUACCAUUUUCAAGGUUAGUGCUGAGUACAAUCCACCAGGUCAUCCAUCAUUACUUGUUGUAAACCCGUCUUAUUCAGUGCAUGGUGUGUCCUUAUGUCUUCAGUAUUGUCUUUGGAAAAGGUAGAUGGCUCAGGUUUAUCUGGAGCAAUGAGCGUAAACAUAAUAUUGAUGGGAGUGGCCCCUGGCCCUCUUGGUUAAUAGGUUCUGACAUCUUGGCACGGGUUUGAUAGAUCAGGGGCCAAAUAGACGAAAGCUGCAGGCAUGGGAAGCCUUAUUACGGCCUGACAGAGGAACACAGGGGCUGAGAUCCAUCACCCUCUGGGGAACUGUGUGCAUGUGUGUGUUUGUAGAUUUAGAGAGGGUGCCGUGUGAGGGGGACAUCACUGGCAAGUGGAAAUCUACUGAGUGCCAGGUUUCACACAAGGUGGGGGUGUUUUGCCUUCUGGACUACCUUUAAUAUGCAAUGUGGAUGCCUGAAUGUCUGUCACAAAGAAGCUUCAAAGUUGAACCCAUAGGGAACCCAGCUCAAAGCUAUUGCACUUUAUCUGUGUGGACCGGAGAUGGAUGGAUGAGGAAUUUUUUGACAGCAUAUCCGAUGUGGUCUUCUUGGCAUCUAACCAGCAAUUAAUUCCCCCAAAUAAUAAGGGAUUAAAUCUCAGACUAAACGUGAGCAUUUUCAACAUUUUACACAGUGAUGCCUUUCACACUCGGGCCCUCUCAGGUUAAUUAUUGCCUUUUUAUUUCUAGUGUUGCUCUUGGUAACACACAAAACGUUAAAGGUAGACAGGUAUUAUCAGCACGUUGUAGCUCUGUGUGGAGAAAUCCCAUGCCACUGAUUCUGAUAACAAUUUAUGCCUUCAUUUUUGUUCCUGCUUCUUCACAUUGAGCUCUGAGAGAGGAAAUUCAUUAUCCAGAAAGUCUCGUUUAAUCUGCUUUAUUACAGAGACGUCAGUUUAAACUCCUAUCUCUUGACUUAUUACAGGGAGAUAGAAAAAUCGUGAACAAUUAUCAUCUUGAUUUGUUAUAUGAUGGCAGUAUUUUGUAAUAAAGGAUUUAAAAAAAUAAAAACAAUGCAACUUUA